rnacentral:lncRNA from 1 species
UGGAAACACUAAAGAGUUAAAGAAAUCUACUAAAAUGUGUUGUUGUACAAUGCAAGUGAUAGAAGAUAUGAUCUGUCCUGACCCAAAAAUGGGGUGUGAUGGCACUCGUCUUAUUCCACUAAGACAAGUCAGCCUAAAUCUCGACCAUUACAAUAAAAUUAUGGAAGUUUAUGUUUAACUUAAAAAUACCCCCAAAAUCUGAUUGUCACGUGUACAAGCUCUAAAGUAUUACAAUCCAGUCAAAAAAAGUCUCAUAUGACAUUGUUGCUAGAGUAGAACAAGAUCAUAAAUUGGAGUAAGAAGGUCCGCUGAGAUGACAAAAAGCUACCUCACGAAUCUCCAAGAAGCCUCAGAAAAGAAGAGAAUAUAUCAUAAAAAUCUGGGCUAGUAUCCUACAAAAAAAAUCGUAGAAGCAAUGGUAAGUACCAAACCAUACAGUUAUCAGCAAGUAAACGUCUAAACACAAGAUAAGGGGAUGAAAUACGGGUACUCCUACCACCCCAACCGAACCUCCACAAUUACAACCUGCAUAAAAUUCGGUCUAACCUUACAGUUCCCAUUUACAUAGCACGUAACUCUAUAACAAUACUUUGACUAAUUACAUAUAUAUCCUCCACAACAACAGUUCACCAAAUUAUAUAUCUUCAAUAACAACACUUCAACAAAUUACAUAUCAUCAUUAACAACACUUCAACAAAUUACAUAUCCUCAAAUAAACAAGCUCAAUAUUAAAAAAUUACAAGUUCCACAAAAAGGCAAUUAUAAGAUCAGCAAAUCGCAAUAUCAAGUUCAAUAAUGAUAAGUAUGUGCAAUGCAAUGGAAUGCAAUGUCAAGUAUAGUGAUGCAUGUCUGACCUAGUGAUACACACCCGCUGUCUCUCAGUCCGGGACCAUAGGGGACUUUUAUGUCCAUGCAUCUGUCUCGACGCACGACAUGACACUUGAUAAUAGUAACCAUUGUGGCGCGCGAUACGUCACUCGAAAUAUAGUAUCCAUCGCGGCGCGUGAUACGUCCCUCGAAAUGGUAAAUCCUUUUAAGUACUCAUUCUUUCUCAAUGCACAUAACACUUGUCAACACCAAUGCCUCAGAAUAAAUUAAAUGACAAGUUCACACAAAUAAUGAGGAGAUGAUCAUUUUCAUAACAUUGCACAGUUCACAACCAUACAAACAUGAAAUCACAUCAACAAUAAUUCAAUAAGCCUUCAAACCUUUGUCAACACAUCACACAUAAACAAUUAAUCACAUUGCCUUUUGUUAUCCCUUUUUUUCUUCAUUAGAAUUAAUCAAUAUGGACAAGUCAACCCAUCACCAAUCACGUUACCCCCAAACAUAUACCACAAGGAAAUAGAUGCAUUCCAUACACUUAACAAGAGUUUAGAAAUCCACUUGCCUCAAUCAAUCAAGAAUUCACUCCGUGACUUGAGUCUUCCCUUUUCAUUGAAUUUCCAACUUAAAGCAAUCUAUUCAAAUUAAUGACCACGAUAAGAUUUUGAAACUAACAACAUUUAUGUUGCUAUAUGUCUAGCUUAGAUCCAAAACUCACCCGAUUUUACAAUCAAGUUCCUAAAUUUUGAUAUUGAUUGACAUUUCAAUUAUCAUAUUUUUCAAGUUUCAAAUCGAGAGUUAAGUUUCAACUUUUCGAAAUAAUACAACCAUAAUAAUAUACCAUUAUUUAAUUCCUUGACUCACUAUAAGAAAAACAAGAAAAUAAGAUCAAAAUUGUACGCUAACUCACGAAAUAAUAAUAUGUUCCAUACACCAUAACUACUGAAUUGUUAUUCGUAAGGAAUUUUAUAUGCUAUUUGACUCCAUCAUUAGGCAAUCAUUAUCUUGCAUCCACUAACCCCCGAAAUCUAAUAGAAUUGGUUGCUGUAAUAUUGAGAGAAAAAAAAGUCCCUUAACUUCUUCUUAAUCCAUUAAAUUCAUAUUAUCACAAAAAAAAAUCAUCCAUUUAGUAUAUAGCCAUCUUAAAAAAAAAUCUAGAACUAGUUGCAUUAAUUGCUUGUUACCUGCCACCUGAGGUUUAUUCGUUUCCUCCGCCAUUCGUCCGUCUAGGUAAGUUUCUAUGAAUCUACUCUCCUUUUCUUUCUUUUAUCUAAUUAAAAUAAUUAUGUAUUAAAUGUAACAAACUCUAGUAACUUAUUUUUGAUAAAUAUGAAAAUAGUAUAAGGUGUUAAAUAAAUUAUUACUUUAGCCUAAUGACUAUCAAUUAAGUCAAUUAUCUACAAUUACUCAUCAAUUAAUUAACUCAAGUUAAACGAAUAAUCAAAAAUUUUAAAAAUGACCUUCCGAAUCUUUACGUGAUCGAAGCCUAAUAAAUGAAUCUCAUUUCUCAAACAUUAAACUAGGGUUUCUUAUUUUGUUCUUACACCUUUAUUAAAUAAGGCAUUUUCCUUAUGUUCGAUAUAUCAAGACAUUUCUGAUUCUAAUGAAAUGGGAAAGCAAGGGACUGAAUCAAACAAGAGGGAGAAAUGAAAAAUCUUAAAUGAAGAUUUAUACUUACAUUCGAUAGUUGAGUAAUAAAUGAGCAUGAGGAAGAUCUUAGUAAAAAUUAUUAGCCACAUCAUGUGGUGAUGGAUGAUUUUCUUCCGCUAUAAGGGAAACAUUUUCAGGUGGUGAGGGUCAUUUAUAGAUAUGAAGAAGAAGACGCGGAGGAUAGAAACUCUAAUCAAAAGGAAAAUGUUUUACAAAGAUAGUUUUAUGUAGGGAUGGGG